rnacentral:rRNA from 1 species
GACGAACGCUGGCGGCGUGCUUAACACAUGCAAGUCGAACGGAAAGGCCCUGCUUUUGUGGGGUGCUCGAGUGGCGAACGGGUGAGUAACACGUGAGUAACCUGCCCUUGACUUUGGGAUAACUUCAGGAAACUGGGGCUAAUACCGGAUAGGAGCUCCUGCUGCAUGGUGGGGGUUGGAAAGUUUCGGCGGUUGGGGAUGGACUCGCGGCUUAUCAGCUUGUUUGUGGGGUAGUGGCUUACCAAGGCUUUGACGGGCAGCCGGCCUGAGAGGGUGACCGGCGACAUGGGGACUGAGAUACGGCCCAGACUCCUACGGGAGGCAGCAGUGGGGAAUAUUGCACAAUGGGCGGAAGCCUGAUGCAGCAACGCCGCGUGCGGGAUGACGGCCUUCGGGUUGUAAACCGCUUUCGCCUGUAACGAAGCGUGAGUGACGGUAAUGGGUAAAGAAGCACCGGCUAACUACGUG